rnacentral:rRNA from 1 species
CUCCCUGUGCUUGCGCCCUUGCCUCACCCCACGCACGAUGAAUAAGGGCAGGAAUUAUGACUGGAUUAGCCCCUGGUUGAAAAUUUAUUGGCCCCCUGGGCCAAAAGCCAUUUGCUGCGGCCAGACUAGCCGCAGGUGAAUACAAAGGGGGCGAACGUUACUCGGAUUUAUUGGGCGUAAAGAGUACGUAGAUGGAAAUGGAAGUUGACUGUUAAAAAUCCAAGCCCAACUUGGAGAAUGCAGCCAAAACUCCAUUUCUCGAACGUAGUUUAGGAUAGCGGAAUUCUAAGUGGAGGAGUGAUAUCCAUAGAUACUUAGAGGAACACCAGAGGCGAAGGCGGCUAUCUGAGCUACAGUUGACAUUGAGGUACGAAAGCGUAGGGAGCAACCAGGAUUAGAUACCCUGCUAGUCUACGACUGUAAACUAUGAGUGCUAGAUUUUGGUGCGUUUCGUGCGCUUCAAAUUCAAAGCUAACGCAUUAAGCACUCCGCCUGGGGAGUACGACCGCAAGGUUAAAACUCAAAGAAAUUGACGGGAACCCGCACAAGCGGCGGAGCGUGUUGCUUAAUUCGAUGCUACACGCUAAACCUUACCACCUUUUGACAUGCAAGUAGAUCCUCUGAUGAAAGUCAGGGAGCGGAUCAAGCCGGAUUUGUACAGGUGCUGCAUGGCUGUCGUCAGUUCGUGAUGUGAAUUGUAAGGUUAAGUCCUAGAACGAACGCAACCCUUUUAGUCGUUUUUAAGAGUUCGCAUAGCAGGAUUCCAAUUAAAUGCAUGCGUUUGCCUUUAAAAAUUGUACUGCCAUGAACUUGGAUGAAAACUGGGAGGGGAAGGUGGGAGUUGAAGUCAAUGUCAUUAGCUUGCCUUAGAGGUGGCUGCAAACGCGCUACAAUGGCAACAACAACGAGACGCAAAAACCGAGAGGUUGAGCAAAUUCUUCAAAAAGUUUGCCCNUCCAGUUCGAUUUGCACUCUGCAACUCGAGUGCAUGAAGAUUUGCUCUUGGAUGAGCUUGCGCCAGAUUAAACUNGAGUCGUGGAGGCAAGGGCACACAGGGA